UAUUUACGCAUGAAAUAUUAAGAAAGAUAAGAAUAACCACAUUCAAAUGAAAAAGAGCGAGAUUGUAUCCGUGUGAAAAUCGGACAGAGGAUCAACCCAUGUAACAACAGUUUGAUAGAGGAAUCCCGUGUUGUGAUGAUUGGUUGGCUUGAAUUGUUCUCUGUAAAAAAAAUAUGUGAGUAUUUGCAUAUGAUGUUUUAAAAAGAAUAAUGAUACUAUAGACUCAAUUUUGAAGCUUACUUACACAUCAGCCAACACCAUGUCCAAGGUCUCACCAAUUCUUGUUGUGUAUGAUUUUCAGGUAUGAAGAACCCUCACUUCAGCUUGCC
rnacentral:lncRNA from 1 species